GUUAAAAAGCUCGUAGUUGGAUUUCUGGUGUGUGAGUAUUGCGUCCUUGAAUGUGUACCGAUGUUCGCCGCCAUCUUGGGGAAUAACUUUGUAAGGAUGUUAAUUCGUUUUUAUGAGUGCCCCUCCUUAACUGUGAAAAAAUUAGAGUGUUCAAAGCAGACAAAAUGUCGUGAAUACAUUAGCAUGGAAUUAUACCAAAAGGUAGGAAUUUGUGAGUCUCACCACUCCUGUUCCCACAAUGAUCAACAGGAUCAAACGAGGGUAGAAGUACUCAAUUGUCAGAGGUGAAAUUCUUGGAUUUUUUGACGACUCCCUAAAGCGAAAGCAUCUACCAAGCAUGUUUCCAUUAAUCAAGAACGAAAGUUAGGGGAUCGAAGAGGAUUAGAUACCCUCGUAGUCUUAACCAUAAACUAUGCCGACUAGGGGUGAGUGGAGUGCCAAACAAUUUUUUGAAUUGGAAGGCCUUUAUUCGAACCUUUCGAGAAAUCAAAGUCUUUGGGUUCCGGGGGGAGUAUGGUCGCAAGGCUGAAACUUAAAGGAAUUGACGGAAGGGCACCACCAGGAGUGGAGCCUGCGGCUUAAUUUGACUCAACACGGGGAAACUCACCAGGUCCGGACAUAGGUAGGAUUGACAGAUUGACAGCUCUUUCUUGAUUCUGUGGGUGGUGGUGCAUGGCCGUUCUUAGUUGGUGGAGUGAUUUGUCUGGUUGAUUCCGUUAACGAACGAGAUGUUUGGUGUGUGUUACAAAUGGUUAGAAUUUUUUUAAUGGUUUGUUCCUCAUGCGACAAUGUGGGUUUACCACAUGGAAGUUAAACGCAAUAACAGGUCUGUGAUGCCCUUAGAUGUUCUGGGCCGCACGCGCGCUACACUGGUUGGGACAAUGGGUAUACAACCUUGCUUGAGAAAGUUGGGUAAUCCUUUGAAUCCCAAUCGUGAUGGGGAUAGUCCUUUGUAAUUUUCGGACUUGAACGAGGAAUUCCUAGUAAACGCCAGUCAUCAGCUGGCAUUGAUUACGUCCCUGCCCUUUGUACACACCGCCCGUCGCACCUACCGAUUGAAUGGAUCGGUGAAAUGUUUGGAUAGAUUGGGAUGGGUGUAAAAGCUUGCCUGAUUUAGAAGUUCAUUAAACCUCUCCAUUUAGAGUAAGGUGAAGUCGUAACAAGGUUCCG
rnacentral:rRNA from 1 species